rnacentral:rRNA from 1 species
GCUGGGUUCGUGACGCAACGGUCCUAACACCCACUCGCCCGAGAACUACCAGCACAGGCUAAAAACUCAAAAAACUUGACGGGGCUCUACCCUACCUAGAGGAGCCUGUCCUAUAAUCGAUACCCCACGAUCUACCCCACCUCUAUUAGCGCACACCGGCCUAUAUACCGCCAUCUUCAGCAAACAAGACCGUUG